rnacentral:rRNA from 1 species
GACGAACGCUGGCGGCGUGCUUAACACAUGCAAGUCGAACGGUAAGGCCCUUCGGGGUACACGAGUGGCGAACGGGUGAGUAACACGUGGGUGAUCUGCCCUGCACUUUGGGAUAAGCCUGGGAAACUGGGUCUAAUACCGGAUAGGACCACUGCCUGCAUGGGUGGUGGUGGAAAGCUUUUGCGGUGUGGGAUGGGCCCGCGGCCUAUCAGCUUGUUGGUGGGGUGAUGGCCUACCAAGGCGACGACGGGUAGCCGGCCUGAGAGGGUGACCGGCCGAACUGGGACUGGGAUACUGCCCAGACUCCUACGGGAGGCAGCAGUGGGGAAUAUUGCACAAUGGGCGCAAGCCUGAUGCAGCGACGCCGCGUGAGGGAUGACGGCCUUCGGGUUGUAAACCUCUUUCAGCACCGACGAAGCGCAAGUGACGGUAGGUGCAGAAGAAGGACCGGCCAACUACGUGCCAGCCGCCGCGGUAA